CUCGGUGUGUGUGGGGGGGUGGGGGGCUGGGGGGUAGGGGGCGGGAGGGUUUAAUGGGCAGAGGGUGCCCCCUGGUGGUGAGCAGACCAGGCCAGGAGGAGGAAGCAAGCGGAGAGAAGAGGCCCUGCUUCAUCACAACCAGCCCGUUUCCUGAGCCUUUGCAAGGGGCCAAGAUCGUGUUCUAACAUCUUACUGGCACUCUCUGACUGAAUCCGCAAAACAUCCCUUUGAGGAUUCUGCAGUUCUGGAAGCGGAGAGCUCACUGCGGUGGGAGCAGUGGGGGAGGUGUUCUGGAGGAGGGCGUCCUUGAGCUGGGAAGUGAGGGACAGCCUGCUGUCUGGCCCGGGCUGUGGGCUCCCAAGACCUGUGUCCAGGAGAGAGCCCCGCAUCUGACUUUCGCACUUUCUGGCUAAAUGACCUUCAGCAGAUUGCGUAAGUUCUCCAAGUGACCCUCAGUGUACCUGGUUGGUAAAGGAAGUUAAUACCCAUUCCCGUAAGCUUGUUCCGAAGAUCAAGCAAGACCACGUGCGGGGAGGUCUUUGAAGACCAUCCCCACAAAAGCCAUUACACUGGAGCGAACUGUCCCAUGAACACUGGUGGUGAUUCUGAGGAUCACGGGGAACAGAGAUGCUCUAGAAUGUUGAGAGGAGUGUGGUGUUGAUUUUCCGAAGGCAGGAGACAGUGGGUUCCAGCAACCACAGCCUGGCAAAGCUACAUCGAUGCCCAGCAAAUUGUAAACAGGGUUUCCACUGGAGGAGACAACUCAGGAGGCGAAGUCACCUACCCAAGACCACGCAAUCGGAAUUCGGGCGGCAUGUCCCUCUCUCCGGGAACGAAGCAGAUGGUGGGGUCACAGGAUGAGUCAGAGGGGUUGCGUGGAGAAGUCCAGUCUCUACGUCCUUCAUGCUUCUCCUGUCAUCUCACUCGGGGCCACUGUGGGCUACACGGAGCCAGGUGGUGACCGACUUGGGACUCAAGCCCCUCUCCCCUGGUUAGAGCUGAGUCUCUCUCUCCCACCACCACCGGCCCGCCCAGCUCUGGGAGAGGCGGACAGAGAAGGACAGGGGAGCUGCUAGGGGUGCCCUGGAGCUGGGGUGGGGGGCGCGGGCUGGGCCGCCAGCGCGUGGAUGUCCUGCCCACUCGGAGCUCCCGGCAGGUGUUUGCUGCCUCACAGACCACACCCCGGGGCUGAGUUUGGGCCGGGGCACCCCACUGACGGAGGGCACAGACACCCCGCCGCAUGCCUGGUGAGCACGCAGGCCCCUGGAGCAGUGGGGCAGGGCUGUGCAGACCACCAGCUCUUGAGGCACACCUGAGUCGGAGUCCUGCAGAGAUGCCCAAACGCUCCGAGCCUCAGCUUCUCAUCUACGGUGGGACAGUAACACCUCCCCGGCCUGAACCCAGAUUGCUCACCUCUGCCUGCCCUGUGCAAGUUCCCAGUGCCUGGUCCUCCCCAGGAGCUCGCGUCUGUCUGUGAAGUGGAGCACUGGGUGAGGGAGGUGGGGCCGCGGAUCCUGGCGCCCGACACCUCCCGGGCACCCUCACCCAGGCCUCCUGGCCCACAGGUGCUGUCUGGGAGGGAACGCACAUCUUCACCGGACAGAGAAUGCCUCACCGUCCUCUGAAGCGGGUGUGCGAGUUCACUCCCCACCAGCGGGGCACGAGCAGGUCCCAUCGCUCCGCAGCCUCUUGGCGCUGUCAGGUGUUUGAUUUUUUUCCGGCCGUGAGGCGUGUUCAUUUGAUACAACUGUGGAAUCACAGCCACGCGGAUGAAGCUCACGAGCCUCACGCGGAGAAGGAAAAGCCAGGGGCAGAACCUAAACGUUCAAAACCCUGCAAAACAGUGUGUCCUGUGGACGUAUGUGCACAUGCAGUCAAAGCAUUUUUGGAAAGCAAGCAGAUGAUAAAACUGAAGGAGAGGACAGUGGUCCCCUCUGUGGGGAAGGUCAGAGAUACAGGGGGUCGAGAGGUGUGCCACUGUGGGUAAUAGAAUUAUUGAUGACGGGGCGCCUGGGGGGCUCAGCUGUUAAGCGUCUGCCUUUGGCUCAGGUCAUG